rnacentral:tRNA from 1 species
UGAUUGAUUUGUUGAGGAAAAGAGCGCCGGUUUGUGGUACCGGUUGUCGCGGGUUCGAUCCCCGUCAUUCGCCC